GAACGCUGGCGGUAGGCCUAACACAUGCAAGUCGAACGGCAGCACAGUAAGAGCUUGCUCUUACGGGUGGCGAGUGGCGGACGGGUGAGGAAUACAUCGGAAUCUACUUUUUCGUGGGGGAUAACGUAGGGAAACUUACGCUAAUACCGCAUACGACCUACGGGUGAAAGCAGGGGAUCUUCGGACCUUGCGCGAUUGAAUGAGCCGAUGUCGGAUUAGCUAGUUGGCGGGGUGAAGGCCCACCAAGGCGACGAUCCGUAGCUGGUCUGAGAGGAUGAUCAGCCACACUGGAACUGAGACACGGUCCAGACUCCUACGGGAGGCAGCAGUGGGGAAUAUUGGACAAUGGGCGCAAGCCUGAUCCAGCCAUACCGCGUGGGUGAAGAAGGCCUUCGGGUUGUAAAGCCCUUUUGUUGGGAAAGAAAAGCAGCAGGUUAAUACCCCGCUGUUCUGACGGUACCCAAAGAAUAAGCACCGGCUAACUUCGUG
rnacentral:rRNA from 1 species